GGCAGCACUGCAUUUCAGACAUGGAGAAUCCUCUCCGGUUUCUGAAAAGCGUUCUUGCCACCUGGCUGAGCUCCACUUCCACUUCCUGGGCGAUGGAUUCCAUCCUCGCCUUCUUGUGUGGACUGGGGCUCUUCCUCGUGCUCCUUCCCUCCCUCCACAGGAAUCCAUCCUUACGACCCCCGGUGAAACGGAGAAACGUCAGGAAGGUGCCUCUUACCUGUGGAUUGGAGACUUCGCUCAUCUGUAGAAACCCAAGGAGGGGGAUGAGAAGAUCCCUGCAUUUCUCCUGACUUCCUUGGGGCUGAAGACAUCAGCCACGGGCUCAAGGGUCUUCCUGAUAAAGCACGCUGCUUUUCAUCAUCAGCUGUUGACUGCGUGUCACAUUUCCAGACAGGAGGUGGACACCUAGUGGCUUUCUAGGAGUCAUCCCUGCAGAAAGAAGCCUCUCACUGUUCUAAGCCCUGUAGUUCUGGAGUCAUUGGUGUGACCUCAGCAGCCCACUUUUUGGUCUCUUGCACCACAGCAAUCGAGAGCUGCAGACUUAGAUUCUCUAUUGUUGACUGUGACUGAGAUCUUGAAUCCACCUCAGUCUAGCAGAAGGACUGGCAAACUAUGACCUUGGGCCAAAUCUGGCCCUCCACCUGUUCUUG
rnacentral:lncRNA from 1 species